rnacentral:rRNA from 1 species
UACAGAGGUCUCAAGCGUUGUUCGGAUUCAUUGGGCGUAAAGGGUGCGUAGGCGGCGCGGUAAGUCGGGUGUGAAAUCUCGGAGCUUAACUCCGAAACUGCAUUCGAUACUGCCGUGCUUGAGGACUGGAGAGGAGACUGGAAUUUACGGUGUAGCGGUGAAAUGCGUAGAUAUCGAGAGGAACACCAGUGGCGAAGGCGAGUCCCUGGACAUCUCCUGACACUGAGGCACGAAAGCUAGGGGAGCAAACAGG